rnacentral:rRNA from 1 species
GACGAACGCUGGCGGCAUGCCUAACACAUGCAAGUCGAGCGAGCAGAUUCUUUCGGGGUGAAGCUAGCGGCGGACGGGUGAGUAACACGUGGGCAGCCUGCCUCAUAGAGGGGAAUAGCCUCCCGAAAGGGAGAUUAAUACCGCAUAAGAUUGUAGUACCGCAUGGUAUAGCAAUUAAAGGAGUAAUCCGCUAUGAGAUGGGCCCGCGGCGCAUUAGCUAGUUGGUGAGGUAACGGCUCACCAAGGCGACGAUGCGUAGCCGACCUGAGAGGGUGAUCGGCCACAUUGGGACUGAGACACGGCCCAGACUCCUACGGGAGGCAGCAGUGGGGAAUAUUGCACAAUGGGGGAAACCCUGAUGCAGCAAUGCCGCGUGAGUGAUGACGGCCUUCGGGUUGUAAAGCUCUGUCUUCGGGGACGAUAAUGACGGUACCCGAGGAGGAAGCCACGGCUAACUACGUGCCAGCAGCCGCAGUAA